UACAGAGGGUGCAAGCGUUGUUCGGAAUUACUGGGCGUAAAGCGCGUGUAGGCGGUCUGGUAAGUCGGUCGUGAAAUCCCUAGGCUCAACCUAGGAACUGCGAUCGAAACUGUUAGGCUAGAGUAUCGGAGGGGAUGGCAGAAUUCCUGGUGUAGAGGUGAAAUUCGUAGAUAUCAGGAGGAACACCUGUGGCGAAGGCGGCCAUCUGGAAGAUUACUGACGCUGAGACGCGAAAGCGUGGGGAGCAAACAGGAUUAGAUACCCUGGUAGUCCACGCCGUAAACGAUGAGUGCUAGGUGUUGCGGGUAUUGACCCCUGCAGUGCCAAAGCUAACGCGUUAAGCACUCCGCCUGGGGAGUACGGUCGCAAGAUUAAA
rnacentral:rRNA from 1 species